AAUUUACAUCCACAUAAAAUAGUCAUUACAAUGGGAACAUUGAGCAAUCUAUAACAACGAACCAUACAACAACAUGCCAUAACUUUCAAUCAUAACUUAAGCAAUGUAUCAAAAGCAUUAACAUUCAACAAUUAACAUUACAAUAGUACACAACAGACAAUUUUCAAAUCGAACAAACCAUCAAAUCAUUUGAACUGACUUUGUUCAUCACUAACACAAU
rnacentral:lncRNA from 1 species